AACGAACGCUGGCGGCAUGCCUAACACAUGCAAGUCGAACGAUCCCUUCGGGGAUAGUGGCGCCCGGGUGCGUAACGCGUGGGAACCUGCCCUUAGGUUCGGAAUAACUCAGAGAAAUUUGAGCUAAUACCGGAUAAUGUCUUCGGACCAAAGAUUUAUCGACUUUGGAUGGGCCCGCGUGGGAUUCGCUAGUUGGUAGGGUAAAGGCCUACCAAGGCGAGGAUCCAUAGCUGGUCUGAGAGGAGGAUCAGCCACACUGGGACUGAGACACGGCCCAGACUCCUACGGGAGGCAGCAGUGGGGAAUAUUGGACAAUGGGCGAAAGCCUGAUCCAGCAAUGCCGGGUGAGUGAUGAAGGCCUUAGGGUUGUAAAGCUCUUUUACCCGGGAUGAUAAUGACAGUACCGGGAGAAUAAGCCCCGGCUAACUCCGUG
rnacentral:rRNA from 1 species